rnacentral:rRNA from 1 species
CCGCACGGGUGAGUAACACGUAUCCAACCUGCCGUCUACUCUUGGCCAGCCUUCUGAAAGGAAGAUUAAUCCAGGAUGGCAUCAUGAGUUCACAUGUCCGCAUGAAUUAAAGGUAUUUUUCGGUAGACGAUGGGGAUGCGUUCCAUUAGUUUGUUGGCGGGGUAACGGCCCACCAAGACUACGAUGGAUAGGGGUUCUGAGAGGAAGGUCCCCCACAUUGGAACUGAGACACGGUCCAA